GGGUGAAACUGCAAGUCGAGAGCGUGGGAAACCAGCAAGUUGAGAGAGGAUCCAGAAGUAACCCCUUCUAAAACGGGAAAGAUGCCUUCCGAAAGCACUUGGCCCUAAAGAGAAAACACUAGGAGGAUGGGAACCAGGGACAGAGAAGCUACUUGCUCUGCAGCUGUUUGGGCCAGUAUGUUCCCUAAUCUUGAUGGCCAUCCUGGGCUUAUUUUCCUGAGAGUCUCUAAGUGACUCACUGCAUCACGUAAAACUAAGAAAAAGGAUGUCC
rnacentral:lncRNA from 1 species